CUCGCGCGGACGUCAGGGGCCCUCGAAGAAGUUCCCUGCUCCUUACCCGCCUAGUCUGGGGUCCUACCCAGAGCCCAGCGUCCUCGGCUGUCGGUAGGGCUGGAGACACCGCGGCGACACGGGGCCUUGGGGUGUCCCCUGGAGGCCAGGCCCGCUGGCGGGGACCUUAGGGCACCCCGGCCGGGGCUGCUUCCUGGGACCUCUGCUCCCCCGUGAGGUAACCGAGGCUGAGUGCCAAGGCUGGAGUUAGAGGCCCUGCCUCCUCCACGAAGUGCCAGUUUGUGGCAAGUUCUGCUUCCAACCACAAAGUUGUGGCCACAAGGUUGGAGCUCAGUGGCGCGACUGGCUCCACCCCGCCAACAUGGUGGACAUGGAAAGCCCCAUGUGUCCCCUGUCCCCCUUGGAGGCUGAGGACCUGGAUAGCCCACUGUCUGAGGACUUCCUACAAGAAAUGGGAACCAUCCAGGACAUUUCCCAGUCCCUCGGUGAGGACAGCUCCGGGAGCUUUGGUUUCACAGAAUACCAGUAUUUGGGGAGCGGCCCCGGCUCGGAUGGAUCCGUCAUCACGGACACCUUGUCACCAGCCUCGAGUCCCUGUUCUGUCAGUUACCCCUCAGUCCCUGGCAGCACAGAUGAGCCUUCCAGCGGCACCCUGAACAUCGAAUGCAGGAUCUGUGGGGACAAGGCUUCAGGCUACCAUUAUGGGGUCCACGCAUGUGAAGGCUGCAAGGGCUUCUUCCGGCGGACCAUCCGGCUGAAGCUGGUGUACGACAAAUGCGACCGCAGCUGCAAGAUUCAGAAAAAGAAUCGGAACAAGUGCCAGUACUGCCGUUUCCACAAGUGCCUCUCUGUCGGGAUGUCACACAAUGCGAUUCGAUUUGGACGGAUGCCAAGAUCCGAGAAAGCAAAACUCAAAGCAGAAAUCCUCACCUGUGAGCACGACACUGAAGACUCUGAGACUGCUGACCUCAAGUCCCUGGCCAAGAGGAUCUACGAGGCCUACCUGAAGAACUUCAACAUGAACAAGGUCAAAGCCCGCGUCAUCCUCGCAGGAAAGACCAGCAACAAUCCACCUUUUGUCAUCCACGACAUGGAGACGUUGUGUAUGGCCGAGAAGACGCUGGUGGCCAAGAUGGUGGCCAAUGGCGUUGAGAACAAGGAGGCUGAGGUCCGCUUCUUCCACUGCUGCCAGUGCAUGUCGGUGGAGACGGUCACCGAGCUCACCGAGUUCGCCAAGGCCAUCCCGGGCUUUGCCAACCUGGACUUGAAUGACCAGGUCACCCUGCUGAAGUACGGCGUGUACGAGGCCAUCUUCACGAUGCUGUCCUCGCUGAUGAACAAAGACGGGAUGCUAGUAGCAGAUGGAAAUGGCUUUAUCACCCGCGAGUUCCUCAGAAACCUGCGGAAACCGUUCUGUGACAUCAUGGAACCUAAGUUUGAUUUUGCCAUGAAGUUCAACGCUCUGGAACUGGACGACAGCGACAUCGCCCUUUUUGUGGCUGCUAUCAUUUGCUGCGGAGAUAUCAGGUGACAGAGGUCCAAGGAGUGUGACCUCCAGCAAGGAUCAUGGGCCAGCAGGGACCAGGGCACCCCAUGACCUCCCUGCCAGUGGAGUGAGAGCAUCCAGAGCUUCCCCUUGACACUCGCUGUAUCGUCCUUGGGCUGCUUCAUGUCCUCAUAGGCUGACAAGAUCAUGGCCUGAAACAAGUUGAUCAAGAGGAAGACCAUCACCAGCAGGAAGGAGGAGAGGAACAGGACCCCAAGAACCUUGUUACUGGAAAAUUUGGUAUUCUGAAAAGCUGAGACACAAUAGGAGAAUAUUGUCUGAGUGGCAUGAAUCAAGUUACUGUAGUUCCACUCAUGUUGACCGAAUACCAGGUAACCAAAGGCCAUGUACACAAAGAAGUACACAGACACCACAAUGGCCAUGUGACAGAUGCCAGGAAGGGCGGCCUGGAUGACCCUCUGGGCCAAGCGCACAUCACAGAAGAAUCUGGAAUAUCUGGGGGUCUUCAAGAUGGUCAGAAAUAACAGGAAAGCCAGGAUUAUCCUCAUAGUUUGAUCUACUUGGGAAACUGCUUGGAAAGGAAUGAAGUCAUGCGGGUUAGACAAGUAAAAUUGGAUCAUGCCAGCAGCCAAGAAAUACUUCCUGAAAAAAAGCAUGACCAGUGCAGUAAAUAUACAUUUCAAAGUGAAGUUGAGCAAGUUGUACAUGCUUUUCACAUAGGAAGCUCCCUCUUGCGUGAUGACGUAGCCCUCGUCAACAAUGUAAGCUAAAAAGAAAAUGAGAAUGGCCACAUACAGGUAGAUCUCUGCCAGCGAUUCGCUGUGGAGCUCAGUAAGUGAGAAGGAGUGGGUGGAGAUGCUGGCAUUGACAACUCCUAGCUGAGAAACCUCAAAUACAAUAGAAAUGCUGCAGAACAGACUGGCAUCUGGAUUGAAAGUGGUUAGUUCCAGAAUCACAGCCCAUGUCUUCUCAUCAAGCCAAUUGCUUUCUUGAAGUUCUCUAAGCCUCAGUGUGGAAUUAAGCUGCUGCUGUUCUGCGAAAAAAUAGAAUACAUACCCUCCGGACCCAUAGGUAUGUAACGGUCCAUAGGAAUAAUACACCCACCUCUUUCCCUGAGGUUUAUAAGUGAACCCAUCAAUAUUCCUGCUCAUAGCCUGCUUAUCAACUUCACCCCAAAACCUAGAGUAGUUUGUGGUGUCCUCUGCGUCGGUGCCAUACUUGGGAUGACAGUGAAUUUCUCCUGCCAUGCUGUCCUGCACAAAGCUUUUAGCAGGUGGACACAUUUUUCCACCAGGUUUUGCCCUCACUUGUCUCUUGAGGGGAAGCCCCAAGAUCUUGGAGGAGCUGUCGGGGAGAAAGGUCAGGUUCCGGUCAUUGUGGAGCAAAGGCAACAGCACGCGGUUGAGCCACUUGUAGAUGUCCUCCAGGUUUGUCACUGCAGGAAGGUCCCCGGAAAAGCAGUCUUGGAUGAACUGGUAGUAGUAGAAGCUGUCAGUGUGGUGCAGCAGGACAAUGAGGAGCAACAGCAGGGCCAGGAAGAUGCAAUGCAUCACGAUGUAGCUCAGGAACAAGACAGCUCUUCUCUUGACCCUCUUCCUCCUUCUGAAUAUCCUGAUUUCAUCUUCCAUGAGGGGCUGGUACAUCUUCGAGCCACGCAGGCAGGUGAGGUGCUCCUGGAGCUGCUGCCUUUCAUCUGGAUGCAUCCUCAUCCCCCACAGCUUGAUCUCAAUAGACUGAUAUUUAGUUGACCACGCCAGGUUUCUACAGUACUUGGGUUUAUUUGUCCUGAUGCCUGACCAGAGUAUAAUCUCUAAUGGCUGCACCAGAAAAACUGACUGACAAAAUGAGCAAAAAGAUGCCAAGAGCCACUCUACUGACUUGUCAUAGCUGUAAGUCAGACCAUAGAAGAUGAUAAAGACUGAGGAUACGGUACAAGUGGUGAGCACUAACAACCAUGCUACAUAAACACACCACCGAGGCAGGGUGAUCCAGGGUUGUGUCUUACAAUGUUUAGGAUCCCCUUGGGAAGAGGGUUCUCCAGAAGGGACAUCUGGAAUGUCUUUCGUGUUUCUGUUACUGACAUUUGUAUUGGUCUCUGCUGUCUCAGCGGUCACCUGGAGAGAAGCCUUUGGUUGUCCGGACAAAACCUUCACAGUGGGUUUUGAGGCUUCCCUGCUGCACCCCUUGUCAGCUUCACAUACUUCCCACUUGCACAAGCGCUCCUCCCAGCCCUCACUGCCUGCCAAAGUCAGAGGAUGCUUUUGAGGAACCACCUCAUCUAGCUCUACUUGGGAUUUUUUCUGGGAGUGGGUGAAGAAAAAAGUAAUUAACAUUGGCACCGGGAUUGUGAUUAAGACACUUUGAAUUCCUAUCGUCAUUAAUCUGAUGUAGCGCCCCUCUCUUGAGGCAGCCUUCUCUUGACUGUUCAGAUUAAAGAACAGAGUAUUACAAAGAAGACAGCUUAGCAGUGUUGCUAAGCAACAGGACAAUCUUUGGAGCCUACUGAAUGGUUUGGCAACAAAAUCAGCAAAAACCGAAAACCACAUGCGGUGUGUCCUCAGCUUAUAGGUCAGGUCUAUCAGGAAGAAGUCCAUUCUUCUCACAGGCUCCUCUGGAUAUGUAACAUGAAACAUUCUCUCCAAAGUGGUGUCAACAGAAAGCCACUUUCGGCACAUGAACAGCCAAAUGUGCCUGCUAAACAGAUUCUCCACCUUGAUUCGACUCAGAUACCAAUUAGGUGCUUUGCCCUCGUUGUUGUGCCACACUCGAAUGGAAUGGAUGUCCCCUAAGUCACUUUUUGUUGUCAGAAGUAAAGCGCUGAUGCUUCCUCGGAAGAGAGUUCUAAAGUGCAAGUGGCUUACGCAAUGCACAUCGCUGGUGCUCUCUGUGCCCCUAAGCUGGACAACGACACUGGCCCUGGUUCCAGCCCCACAACAACUUCCUGUAAAGAUAGUGACCAGGUAGCACGUGUUAUCAUAAGGAUCAUUGUUAGGCAGGACCACCACAUAGUCCCAAAGAAAUUGGUCCAUCUCAUUCCUAUGCAAGGCCCAGAAAGCUAGAAUUGUGUAGAUGACCAUGAUGAAAAGCACAGUGAGGAGAGUCACAGGGUUGUACUGACAGUCCUGGGUGACGUUCAACUGUAGAUCCACAGAAUUAGGGAUUGUGAUCACCUUGCCCAUCACGUAGCGUGUACGCAGGGGAACAUGGGUUGGAGUCCUCAGCUGCCGCCGUGCCCUUGUCAUGUACCUGCAGGUACAGUGUACUUUGUUCCAGGUGGUCUUUUCACCCAGCGUGCAGGCAUCUUCUCUCCACUGGCCCCGGAUCCUGUGCAUGUCCAGGCAGCUGGCACCAAAGACAGAAAUUCUCACUAGCUUGUGGCUGGGCUCCAGGACAAAGUGUGGGGCCUGCAGAACCACAGAUAUGUCGCACUUGGGCGAGCGGCUGUGCCGAGUCAUAACCUGCAGCAGGGACGGGGGCAGGCAGACCACUCUAGCCACCCUGACUCUACAGGCUGGGUCAAACAGGACACUCUGGAUGACAACUGGAGGCAUGUCGUGAGGCACCAGGAAGGUGGCCACCAGAUGGGUGGGGGCGACAUGACGGCCCACAUACACCAACACCUUCAACAGCCCAGUCACUUCUGUCACGAUGUGGACCAGCACCUCCCUAACACCUCUGCUGUCCACUUCAAAGCUAAACGCCCCUGCCAUCGUCCCCGAGGACCCUGUGGCCUCACUGUCAGGUCCCACAGUGAGAUUAAAAGUCGCAGAGGUCAAGUUUUUUCUGGUGAGGUACACUUCCACUGUGUCCGGUAUCACCUCUAUCAUGCUCCCUUUACCUG